rnacentral:rRNA from 1 species
GAUGAACGCUGGCGGCGUGCCUAAUACAUGCAAGUCGAGCGAAUGGAUUAAGAGCUUGCUCUUAUGAAGUUAGCGGCGGACGGGUGAGUAACACGUGGGUAACCCGCCCAUAAGACUGGGAUAACUCCGGGAAACCGGGGCUAAUACCGGACAACAUUUUGAACCGCAUGGUUCGAAAUUGAAAGGCGGCUUCGGCUGUCACUUAUGGAUGGACCCGCGUCGCAUUAGCUAGUUGGUGAGGUAACGGCUCACCAAGGCAACGAUGCGUAGCCGACCUGAGAGGGUGAUCGGCCACACUGGGACUGAGCCACGGCCCAGACUCCUACGGGAGGCAGCAGUAGGGAAUCUUCCGCAAUGGACGAAAGUCUGACGGAGCAACGCCGCGUGAGUGAUGAAGGCUUUCGGGUCGUAAAACUCUGUUGUUAGGGAAGAACAAGUGCUAGUUGAAUAAGCUGGCACCUUGACGGUACCUAACCAGAAAGCCACGGCUAACUACGUGCCAGCCGCCGCCGUAA